rnacentral:tRNA from 1 species
GUGUAGCUCAGUGGAUAGAGUACUUCACUCCGAAUGAAGGGGCCGUGGGUUCAAUUCCCACCAC